rfam:Oribacterium sp. ACB1 genomic scaffold acqcx-supercont2.1, whole genome shotgun sequence.
AAAGUAUUGUGAAUGGUCGCUGCCGGGAAACCGGGAGAGGAAAGUCCGGGCUUCAUAGAGCAGGAUGCCUGAUAACGUCAGGUUGAGGCGACUCACAGGAAAGUGCAACAGAAAAUAACCGCCGUUUAUACGGUAAGGGUGAAAAGGCGAUGUAAGAGAUCACCGGUUUCCUGGUAACAGGAAAUGCAAUGUAAACCCCAUCCGAAGCAAGGUCAACAGAGAGCAUAAGGCUGCUCGUCUGCUCUCGGGUAGACCGCUUGAGACUUAUGGUGACGUAAGUCCUAGAUAGAUGACCAUUUUCAACAUAACCCGGCUUACAGCAAUACUUUAGCC